rnacentral:ncRNA from 1 species
GGAAUGACUGAGCGUAAAGGGCACGUAGGCGGUGAAUCGGGUUGAAAGUGAAAGUCGUCAAAAAGUGGCGGAAUGCUCUCAAAACCAAUCACUUGAGUGAGACAAAGGAGAGUGGAAUUUCUUGUGUAGGGGUGAAAUUCGUCGAUCUAUGAAGGAAUGCCAAAAGCCUGCGCGUAGGUCGCCAGCGAGCAACCAAGCCCACACCCCAUCCAAUUCCCU